UAUUUUCUGCUAUUGAGAAUUAAGAAUAUAAUAAAACUUAUUUGCAAUAAUAUAACGCCAACGUCCAAUUGACAAUUUUGGAUGAUUGACAGUUUUGUAUACAGCAUAAAAUUUUACAUAAAUUGUUAUAAAUUUUAGGUAAAGUCAUAUUUUAUAGACGAUUUAAAUAUGAAUAAUACACCUAUAAAUAUUGAAAAGUAUAAAGUGACCACUGUGAGUACUAAUAUGAAGACAUCGCCGAACCCACUGCGUUCUACAUAUCGGAAUUUAUAUCAGAAAAUGAAGAAAAGUUGAUAUUAUCAAACAUUUACGCGGCACCAAAACCGAAGUGGACGCAACUUUCGAACAGAAGGCUGCAAAAUUGGGGCGGUUUACCUCACAAUAAGGGUAUGAUUGCCGAAACUAUACCUGGUUGGUUGGACCAGUAUCUCGACAGGAUACACAGCCUUAACUUAAUGAGCGGGAAAAGGCCUAAUCAUGUGCUAGUUAAUGAGUAUCUAGCCGGGCAGGGCAUAAUGCCGCAUUUGGAUGGGGAUUUAUUCUAUCCCACAAUAACUACCAUUUCUGUCGGAUCCCAUACCAUUUUAAAGUUCCUCAAACCUGCUACAGAUAAUAAUAACAUGCAGCCAGUGUUUUCGUUUUUGCUGGAACCAAGGAGUUUACUAGUAUUGCAAGACAAACUCUUUCACCAUUAUUUACAUUGGAUAGAAGAAGUCAAGCAGGAUGUAUUGGAUGAUACUGUUGU
rnacentral:misc_RNA from 1 species